rnacentral:rRNA from 1 species
UACGAAGGGGGCUAGCGUUGCUCGGAAUCACUGGGCGUAAAGCGCACGUAGGCGGAUUGCUAAGUCAGGGGUGAAAUCCCAGGGCUCAACCUUGGAACUGCCUUUGAUACUGUUUGGCUUGAGACCGGUAGAGGUAAGUGGAACUGCGAGUGUAGAGGUGAAAUUCGUAGAUAUUCGCAAGAACACCAGUGGCGAAGGCGGCUUACUGGACCGGUUCUGACGCUGAGGCGCGAAAGCGUGGGGAGCAAACAGG